rnacentral:hammerhead_ribozyme from 1 species
ACAUUGCUGAAGUGUCCCAUAAUGGAACGAAACGGCCGUCCAGUGC